GACGGCGGCGGCGGCGGCGGCGUAAAGCGUUAAUGAAAAUGGCAACGCGCCGCGACGCCACGCGGCAGCCUCGACGGGGUACGUACGGCCGCAAAUUACGCUGCUUUAUCAAUCUGAAAUAACAUCGGCGCGGGACAAUUAGCGACAACGCGAAAACUUACGGAGGAUUUUCACCGACCCAACGCAAGGAUCACGUUACGGCAUGGCUGACACAUAGACGGAUGUAUCUGGGAGAGAUAUCGUAGUCAAGAGAGUACAGAGAUUCUACCUUGACAAGUAACAUAUUUUCAGUUCGCAAGCAGAGGAUAGCGAAAGUAUUAAUUCGAAGCAAAUGAUACAUAUACUCAACAAAUUAGAAAUACACAGGGAACCUUCAAGAUAGUCUAAUGAAAAAUAUUUCUAAAAAAACAGUACAUUUAUCCUGUUAAGUCUGCUGCAAAACUGUUAAUAAAAGAAAUUGUGAAAAAAGAAAUA